rnacentral:rRNA from 1 species
AUGAAGAAGAUCUUGUUCAGCAUGUUCUAUUCGAUACUGGUAGGAGAAGAACCCGACUCGGUAUUCUUAAAAAAAGAGGGGAAGCAGAACCAAGUCAAGAUGAUAUGGGUCGCCCCUUCUUCUUGCGCCAAAGAUCUUACCAUUUCCGAAGGAACUGGGGCUACAUUUCUUUUCAAUUUCCAUUCAAGAGUUUGUAUCUGUUUCUAG